GGCCAGCUUGAAGAUCCUCAUGUAACACUUGGCAAUCAGAAGGCACCCUGUGAUGUUGCACCUGCCAGAGCUGCUACAUCAAGUCAUGUGACUUAUGAGAACCCUGGGUGUCUUCAAGGAUCGUUUGACCAGAGCAGCCACAUCUUCGGGGAAAAUGCAGGUAAGCAGUGUGCUACAAAUGGCAUAGCGGCGAUUAUGACCCACACCACCCAUAGCGUUCUCAAAUGGAAAAAAAAGAACAUUCAUCAUAUUCUAAAACAAGGUAAUGGCUUGUACACAUCUAUGCUAGAAAA